AAUCAAUUAAGUUAAGUUAGACUAGAUGUUUUCAAAACAUCCAGUGGUAUACACCAUUGGUUG
rnacentral:tRNA from 1 species